rnacentral:lncRNA from 1 species
UUAAGGUCUUUCAUUAUCAAAGGGAGAAAACUCGACCUGAACCAACAUUCCACCAUGUGAGAAUAGCUUCGACAUGCUAGUGAGGGAUUAACCCUAUAAUAAGCAUGGAAGACUUACAAUUCGAUCACUAAGGAUGCGGUGAGAUUUACAUCAACCACUAAGAUAAUUCAGAUUUAUGGCUAAUGCAGGAAAAUUUUGAUUAAGAAGUGGGCAAGGGCCACAAAAGCAAUUGAGUGGGUUGAAUUAACCAGUUAGAAGUAUUCACAAAGAUGGUCAAAGUUGACUUAAUGUUCAAUUCAAAAUGAGUAUUAUGAAAAGAAAUUUGAAAAUCAAAGGCAUAAAGCCUAGGUUUCUAAUGUUGAAAACAAGUCAAAUGUUUGCACAAAAGUUUUUUGGGUUGGGUUAAGGAUGGAGAAAGGUUAACAAAAGGGUGAGGGUUAAGGAAUGCAACCACAGAUAGGAAUUCCUUUCUCAAGAUCAUAGAGAUGAUCUAAGUAAGUUCCUUUGGAAUCAUGCAACACAAGGUAUAAGCAGUAAGCAAGUCUCAUAAGAGAACCACAGAUAGAGGAAACAGAAUGCGAAUCAAUGGACUUACAUCCAACUCCACAAACAAAACUAGAAACAGAAUGCCAAUAUAUGGACUUACAUCUAACUCCACAAUAAAACAGGAAACAGAAUGCCAAUCAAUGGACUUAUAUCCAACUCCUCAAACAAAACUGGAAACAGAAUGCCAAUAUA